AGCAGCCGCGGUAAUUCCAGCUCCAAUAGCGUAUAUUAAAGUUGUUGCAGUUAAAAAGCUCGUAGUUGAAUUUCGGGAUCAAUAUUUCGGUCAUGCCGUUGGUAUGCACUGUUAUCAUUGAUUUCUCACCUUCUAAAGAACCGUAAUGCCAUUAAUUUGGUGUUACGGGGAAUUAGGACUGUUACCUUGAAAAAUUAGAGUGUUUAAAGCAGGCUCACGCUUGAAUACAUUAGCAUGGAAUAAUGAAAUAGGACAUCCGAUUCUAUUUUGUUGGUUUCUAGGAUCGAUGUAAUGAUUAAUAGGGAUAGUUGGGGGCAUUAGUAUUCAAUUGUCAGAGGUGAAAUUCUUGGAUUUAUUGAAGACUAACUACUGCGAAAGCAUUUGCCAAGGAUGUUUUCAUUAAUCAAGAACGAAAGUUAGGGGAUCGAAGACGAUCAGAUACCGUCGUAGUCUUAACCAUAAACUAUGCCGAC
rnacentral:rRNA from 1 species